rnacentral:rRNA from 1 species
GUGAGGAAUAUUGGUCAAUGGGCGGGAGCCUGAACCAGCCAAGUCGCGUGAAGGAAGAAGGAUCUAUGGUUCGUAAACUUCUUUUGCAGGGGAAUAAAGUGCAGGACGUGUCCUGUUUUGUAUGUACCCUGAGAAUAAGGAUCGGCUAACUCCGUGCCAGCAGCCGCGGUAAUACGGAGGAUCCGAGAGUUAUCCGGAUUUAUUGGGUUUAAAGGGUGCGUAGGUGGUUUGAUAAGUCAGCGGUGAAAGUUUGCAGCUUAACUGUAAAAAUGCCGUUGAAACUGUCGGACUUGAGUGUAAAUGAGGUAGGCGGAAUGCGUGGUGUAGCGGUGAAAUGCAUAGAUAUCACGCAGAACUCCGAUUGCGAAGGCAGCUUACUAAGCUACAACUGACACUGAAGCACGAAAGCGUGGGGAUCAAACAGGAUUAGAUACCCUAGUAGUCC